UGUUGUUUUGGUUGUUGGCAUUCGUGGUUGCGCGUCUGCGGUGUCCUUAAAGUGGAUCCUCAGCCAUCCGUAAUCGAUGAUUUCGUUUUCGGAUUGGACGAUCGAUCGUUGAUUUCGUUUUCGGAUUGGAUGAUCUGUUUCCGAUAGGUGGUGCAUCCAAAUCCCCAGCCAUCCCUUAAUCGUUGAUUUCGUUUACGAAUUGGAUGUUCUGUUCUCGGCACUUGAAACUGAUCUACUUUAUGCCGGGUGUAUCAAAAGCCUUCUGUUCAUGUGGCUUUCGUUUUCGGGGACUUGGACAUUGGUCUUGAGCGAAUCGGGUGAUCUAUUUUCAAUCGCUGCGGAUCGGAAGCGUUUGAUAUCUGUUGUUUUCGUUUUCUGAACGAAUUGGAUGAUCUAUUUUUUUCCCAUAGGAAUAUUGAGAGGCUAGGAGUUCCGAUUAUUGGAAUCCGACUAGUGGAUUAUUCUUUAACCGCUCUUUUUUUUUUUUUCUUGCGAUCUAUCAGAGGGCUUCACAAUUUUGCCGGAUUAAGGCUAUUUGCGACAGAUUUUAUAUGUACUUUCGAAGCGGUAGGUGAGGCUGUGGUGUUUGUGUGGGUAUUAUCUUAAUGGAACCCUCGCGGAGUCUGUGAGGCAAUUUGUGAAGGUUGCUCUGGUUUUCCGAAAUGAUCUGAACAAGGGAUGUGUCCUUUUUGAUCUGGUUUAGUUGGCCUUCGUUACUUUCAACUUUUAUUUGUUGCAUUUAUGUCCACCAGUUGGUUAUGUUUGUUUGUUUUUAUUUUUUGUGUGCAAGGGAAAGCUUCUGGAUAUGAUAUUUGAAAGAGAGAUGUGUGUGUUUUGCUACCAUGCUAUGAUAUUUGGUUUGAGAUAUACGCUAACGGUAUCUGCGUCAAUGCUGUGUCUUUUGGAUACUCUAGUUGGAUUUAGACGGGUAUCAGGGAAGAGUUCCAUCAACUUCUCAUUUUUUGAGGGUUUUUGUGCGCAGUUGCCGAAGCAUCAUCGUUAGGCAUGAUUCUAUUAAAUAGAGAUGAUUCUAUAUGUGUCAUCGAUGCUGUUGGUGGGGCUCUGGUGUUUUUGUGAUUAUUAUCUGUAUGGAGCCACACGUAGCUGUGAUGCAGUUUGUAAAGGAUGCUCCAAUUAAGGAUGCUCUGGUUUUUGUUGAAUGAUUUAAAUAGGUUUUCCAUUAGAUAGUGUUAUAUUUAAGGGGUUUCAUUGUUGUGACAUACGUUGCUUAUUAUGAUGGAUCCAGGGCUUCCGAAAUUAUCUGAACAGUGGAUAUGUCCGGUUUGUGCUGGUUUAGUCAGCCCUUGUUACUUUCAAACAUUAAUUGUUGCCCUUACGUGCACAAGUUGGUCAUUUGAUACGGUUCUCAUCAAAGUAUGGUUGUUUGUUUUUAUUUGUUGUCUGCUAGGGGAAGCUGAUGGACAUCUAGUUUUGCAUGGGCAUGGGACAUUUUUUUGAAAGUGAGAUGUGAGUGUUCUGCUACCUUCCUAUGGUAUUUGGUUUCGAUAUGUUCUACUCUAUCAUCAUUCAUGGAAGAGGUUCCUUUCACUUUUCAUUGGCUAUCUAAUUGUUGAUUGUCUGUCUACUUAUUCCAUUGGCAUGCUUGGUACAUUUUAUAAAUUUGCACUUUUGAAGUCAGUCUUUCUCUUUGUUUUCUGAAUGUCCUAUUUGUAGGGAUUUUGUGUGCAGUUGCAGAAGCAUCAGUAUCAGCAUUAGCCAUAAGCCUGGUUAUUAGGAUUAUGACCUUUCUUGAAUAGAAUUUUUGGUAUGAGACAUACGUUUUGCCUGUUUUAAAAGGAUAGUUUAGAUUUAGGUGUUUAAUUUAUGCAUGUUUGUGAUAUUAAGUUUUUGUCCAAUUGUUAAUUGUUCUUGUUGUUGUGAAUUUUUAGCUGUUACUUGCUUGGCAAGUCUUUUUGGUCAUACUAAUGUCUCAUUUGUCUCUUCUUGGAUUCUUUGUUAGAUUUCUAUUUUGCAGCUUAAUUAUCUUUUUGUUUUAACCUGCCUCUGGUCAUCUGAUGUUUGGUUUCAGUUAGCUUGUAGAUGUUUUUUUAGUAUGACAUUUAAUCAUUUUUUGCUUUGAGUAAAUAACUUUGAUUGGUCUUUACUUUGAUUGGCUCAUGUUCUAUUGUUUUUUAUUCUACUUUAACUCUUAUUUGUUGGCAUUUUUUAAGUUCUCUGUACAAUUUAUAGUUUUUUGUUCCAUGUAAACUUUUUGUCCUUGUGUGUUUCUAGUGUAACUUUUGACUGGUGUCUUUUAUGUUGCCCUAUAAUGCUGAUGUGGCCUCAUAUGAGAGAUUAUUUUACCGUAAACAAUUCAUCAUGUUGUUUGUUUGCAGGAUUUAAAUUGGGUAUAUGGAAGGUUAUUUUGUUUGCCUAUUUGGUUUAUUACAUCCAGUUGUAUUCUUGGCUGCUCUUUCCAGAUGAAAUUUGGAUUUUCUGUCCUGGUUUUCUACAAUUAGUUAUGACGUUUGGUAGCAGGAUUUUAUUUUGGAGUUCAUACAUUUCUAAAUUGGGUUAAUUACAUCCUUUGGUGUUCUUGGCUGGUUGUAUUAGAGGAAGUCAGAUAAUUUUGUUGAAUAACUUGAAUUCUGUGGUCAUCAUUUCCAUUGGCGUCAUUGCUGUUCAUUUAUUGCCAAAAUGCAGUCCAACAGUGCAAAGUUGUUACAUUUGAAAGGUCAUUAUUUUCACCGACUUUUUGAUCCUUUGGCUUAUAAAAGUUCUCUGCUGCAUUUCUCUUCCUUUUAAUUAACUUCCAUUUCUCUUUUGAAUCAUGUUUCCUUUAUCUUGUGUGGAAGCUAGGACGUGGUAAUGAUUUUACGUACAGGUACCUAUGCUAUUAAGGUGUCUUUGUUGGUGAUCUUGGGUUAUGAUAAUUGUACUUGAUUGUUAUAUCGAUUUUUGAAUCAAUUCAAUGGCACAAUUGAUGGCUUCAAAAACAAGUGGGUUUUAAGAUGCAUUGUUACUUUUUUCUUGUAUCAAGUUGGAGGGAGGUACAGACAUGCUGUGUUCUCUUGUUUUUCCUUGAAAUUCAUUUUAUAUUGCUGAUUUUUAUGAGAAGUUAUCUUCUCAGGCUGAUGUACUUUUUGCUGCUCAUUUUAUGUGAUGUUUGUCUACUUGAAGCUUGUUUUGGGAGCUGGGUUUCAUGUUAAGAAAGUUGGGUUUCUCUUCAGUAUGGAGCCUUCAUAUUGUAAACAAAGGAGUCCAAUUUUCAUCAAGGAAUAUUCUUGUGGGAACCCAAUUGCUAAUUGAAUAUAUUUCCUUUUUGAAGAUUCUUCAACCAUAGCUGAUACAAACAAGUUUACAAGAUUGUUGUUUUGGUUUGCAUGAUGAAGAGAAUAGAAGUUCUACCUGUACUCCUGGUAAUUUUCGUCAGCUUGUCAUUUUAUGUGAUGUUUGUCUACUUGAAGCUUGUUUUGGGAGCUGGGUUUCAUGUUAAGAAAGUUGGGUUUCUCUUCAUGGAGCCUUUAUAUUGUAAACAAAGGAGUCCAAUUUUCAUCAAGGAAUAUUCUUGUGGGAACCCAAUUGCUAAUUGAAUAUAUUUCCUUUAUGAAGAUUCUUCAACCAUAGCUGAUACAAACAAGUUUACAAGAUUGUUGUUUUGGUUUGCAUGAUGAAGAGAAUAGAAGUUCUACCUGUACUCCUGGUGAUGUGAACAAUGUAGUUGGAACAUCUACGGAAAGCCUAGCAUGAUUAAACAGAAAUUCAUGGGAAAGAUUUUAUUGGCUUUAACUGGUUUUCCCAGGAUUAACAUUAGAUUGAAAAGCUUGGAUCUGACAUUUGAAUUGAUCCACUAGUACCUGUUGCUAUUCCCCAUGAUAUUUGCAAGUUUUGGUUCGAUUUUGUUCUUUUCCUGUGUGUACAUGUUUAUAUGGUUCAAAGAACUCUGGAAGGUUGUGUUUGGUUGAAAGGGGGCGGUGCAUUUGGAUUGAGAUUAGCAAAUCGAAAAGAUUGGAAAAUGACUUUUGAUUGAGAUUAGGGCAUCGAGAAGGUUGGAAAAUGAUUCUUUAGUUGAUUCGCAAGUCUCAGUAGCUAUUACCGGUGAUGUUCUGCAAUUUAUGGAUGGAUUUUGUUUUAUUUUCCGGUGCCUACAUAUUUGUAUGUUCCAAAGAACUUUGGAAGUUCUGUUUUUGGUUGAAAACAUGGUGCAAUGGGAUGUUGUAUCUAUUACGCAAAUUGGUUGUACCAAAAAUUAUUAUGGACUAGUACUCAGAUUUUGUCAUAAGGUAUCAGAUCAAGGUUUUUGAUAUGGUUGUGUAUGAAUCAUGUAGUACUCAGAUUUUGUCAUAAAUGAUUUUGUGCAUUUGGAUUGAGAUUAGCAAAUCGAAAAGAUUGGAAAAUGACUUUUGAUUGAGAUUAGGGCAUCGAGAAGGUUGGAAAAUGAUUCUUUAGUUGAUUCGCAAGUCUCAGUAGCUAUUACCGGUGAUGUUCUGCAAUUUAUGGAUGGAUUUUGUUUUAUUUUCCUGUGCCUACAUAUUUGUAUGUUCCAAAGAACUUUGGAAGUUCUGUUUUUGGUUGAAAACAUGGUGCAAUGGGAUGUUGUAUCUAUUACGCAAAUUGGUUGUACCAAAAAUUAUUGUGGACUAGUACUCAGAUUUUGUCAUAAGGUAUCAGAUCAAGGUUUUUGA